CUUACGCACAGUUUUUCCCUUCGCACUUCUCUCUCGCACGAUUCUUCUACGCACAAAAUUAGCAGAAGAUAGAGAUUAGAGAGAGAAGAGGGAAGCUCAAGUUUUUCCAAAAAGACCAUGGCAAUUUCGCAGCUUCAUCUCAUUCUCUUCUCCUAAAAAUCCCUAACCAUCACCUUCCCAAAAACCCAACAUUGUCCUCACUACACACUUCAAUGUCUUCAUCUCAACCAUUCUUCACGCCAUAACCAUAUUGAUCACCUGCUCGGUACCCAGUCCAAGAUCGCCAAACCUCCACACCCAAUCCCAAGAUGGGGUCUUCAAUUUUGUUACCAGUUUAGUGACUCUGCUUGAAAACGUCCUCAAGAUCGGUCCUUCAAUUUCAAAACCCUAGCCUCCAUUCCGGCUACCGCUGAAAGCCCUAACUUUAUGUGUGAUUCCUAGUUAUAUAUGUAAUCUGUAAAUCUUUCCCAUAAUAUGUGAAUCUGUAAAUAUUUUCCAUUCAUAUAUAUUUUGUAUAUGUGCGAUUCUGAUAGUAUUUUUUUUAAUCUAUCUGUUUAAAACUAGGACUAAUCUUCUUUAGGUUAAGAAUGGCGAGCGUAGGAGGAGGAUGAGAGAAAGGUUGAAGCAUAUGAGUUAGGAAAACAAGGAGAUUUAUUUCAAUCUUCAGCAAAUCGGCUGAAGAAUUAAGUUGAAGAGGUGAUCACUAGAAUUUCUGAAGAAGUCAUAUGAAUGAUGCUUCCCACCAAUUUGGUAAAUAUUAUAUGCCAGCAAAUUGAAGGCAACACUUGUAAGGGAUCCUAUCAUUGGAAGUAUGGGUGGACGAAGAACGCUUUGAUGCACAUCUUGAAGGCCUCAAGAAACAUUAUUUUGGCCUUGGAAGUGGUAGCAUAGGUUAUGGUGUAUUAACUAGGAUGGCUCUUACUUGGAAAUUUCUGUAUUCAAGGGCAAGUACAUAAAGUCAAAAAUCACUUGAAGAAUUACAAGAUUCUAGAAGACUAGUAUGAAAGAUUGAGAGUUUGCUUUUUACUUGUUAGUUUGAAUUGUGUUACACAAUUGGAGAGUUAGUUUUAUUUUGUAAUGAAAUUGAAUGAUGUAAAAUGUAAUUUUGUAUUG